UAGACAGAUUUGUUUAUAUUUGACUUUCUAAAAACCUGUUACUAGAAAGGCACAUUAAUACAUUUCUCCUGUGCUGAUAGUAAUCAGGCAAUUCUCUAAAUCUCUGUGGCUCAACAUGGAGCUCUGCCUGUCAUGGUCACUUGGGACCCAGGCUUUGGGUAUAAGGCUACAGCACAUGGAAAACGUAUGAAUGUCUCUCAGAUUCUUAAAGCUUCUGCUGGAAGUGACAUGUCAUUCUGCUCACAGUUCAUUGGCUAAAUGAGUCACGUGGCUCUCUCUAACUUCAAGGAUGGUAUGAAAUUGCAAUCCUACCAUGUUUCUAGAAGGAGAACCAGCCCUAAUCACAAUGCUACAUGUUGGAGCACAAUGGAGUCCUUAGUAAUGGACUCCAUCUCUUCCAUCAGAUAAAAUGUUGAGAACUGAAGUUAAAAUUUGAAUAAUGAAACCAAAGGAAAAAAAAUUAAAUGAAUUUUAAGACAAUUGAGAUAAGAACAACUGUGGCAUCAGCAUAAUUCAAUUUAAUAAUGUAUUAAAUAUUUUGCAGAAAAGUGAAAACAAAUUGAUAGCCAAAUCAAUGCAGCAUUAAGCCACCAUGUGGUCUAAUUUCUUGCUGAAUUGACAAAACAAAACACUAGUUUAGUUAUAUAAACAUGGCUGAUGUUUAUACAAACAACAGAAUUUGCCGGUAGCAUUAUCACUGGAAAAUAAGAUGUGUACUUAAUUCUUGUAUGUUCUGAGCCCAUCUAGGAAGAACAUAAAAGACGAAGAACAAAGCAAUCACAGGAUGUUAUCAUGAAAAUAU
rnacentral:lncRNA from 1 species